CGACAUAUUUACACUUCGAAAUUUUUACUUCGGCUAAUGUUCUUUUCUGUUGAACGUCAAAGAGCGUUACUUGAUCAGCAUCACGUAAAAGGAGCAUUCCAGUACCAGCGUAAAAUAUUUCGUCACAGUUUGGGAUCUGCACCUUUUUUAAGAUAACGUUUCACCCUGAAUACAUACCGAAUACGCCCUAUCUAACACCGCAAAACGAUUUCUGGCAACCCAGAUGGCAGUGACACCCGAAGCCCGCUUCGCAUCGGCAUCAGUGUUUGGAUCACCUUCGCGCGGUAUCAAAUAUAGAUCAAACAAUCAGAGGCAAUGUUGGAUGGAAGCAUGCCCAAUUAACACCUCUAUCAUGUGCGUCCAGGAUAUGUCUUACAACAGCAUCUGCUUGACCAAAUAAAUCUGUGGCUCCAGGAUUUUUUAAAUGAUCUUCCAAGCCUCCUGGAC